UCGAGAAUCUUCCGCAAUGGGCGAAAGCCUGACGGAGCGACACCGCGUGCAGGACGAAGGCCCUCGGGUUGUAAACUGCUGUCACGCUCUAGGCACCCCAUGUCGUUAAUAGCGGCAUGGUUGACCAAGGCGAAAGGAAGUGGCGGCUAACUCUGUGCCAGCAGCCGCGGUAAGACAGAGGCCACGAACGUUGUUCGGAAUCACUGGGCAUAAAGCGCACGUAGGCGGCUAGGUCCGUCCAAUGUGAAAGCCCCCGGCUCAACCGGGGAAUUGCAUCGGAUACAGCCUGGCUUGAGGACGGUUGGGGUGAGUGGAACUCCUGGUGGAGCGGUGAAAUGCGUAGAUAUCAGGAGGAACACCGGUGGCGAAAGCGGCUCACUGGACCGUUACUGACGCUGAGGUGCGAAAG
rnacentral:rRNA from 1 species